NNNNNNNNNNNNNNNNNNNNNNNNNNNNNNNNNNNNNNNNNNNNNNNNNNNNNNNNNNNNNNGCACGAGCAGCGUCUGCACGCUGCGUGCACCAAACACGCCGCAUGCACCGAACACUACACGCACCAAAUGUGCUGCAUGCAUCACACACACUGCGUGCACCAGGCACUGCACACACCGCACACGCUGCAGGCACCAGACACACUGCACACACCGAGUGCUGCACACACCAAACACUGCAUGCACCAAACCCACUGCAUGCACUGGACGCUGCACGCAGCGAACGUGCUACGUGCACUGCACACACUGGACACUGCACGCACCAAAUACGCUGCAUGCACCAAGCAUUGCACACGCAGUACUUGUGCAAGGGCGCGCACUGCAGGCUGCACCAGUGCAUGUGCACAAGCUGCAGGCACCGUGUGCACACUGCACAAGCUUUGGGCACCAUAUGCUGUGCAUGCCAGCUGCACAUGCACACUGCAUGCACUGCGCACGCACGGCGUGCACUGCACUCGGCGUGUGCACACAGCAUGCGCUGCACACACUGCACACGCACACACUGCACACACCAUGCCCGCCGCAGACACUGCCCAUGCCACACACACCAUGCACACUGCACGCACUGUGCACACCGAACACACCACGUGCACUGCGCUCACUGCACAUGCACUGCAAGCGCUGCACACACCAUGCACUGUGCGUGCACCACACGCACUGCGUGCGCUGCGCAGCUGCACACACGUGUGCACUGCACACACCGCGUGCACUGCACAGGCACUGCACGCACUGCACACCCCAUGCACACAGCAUCCAUUGCGCACACCCCACACGCAUGGCACACACACCCCACACGCUGCACUUGCAUUGCACACGCACUGCACACACACCCUGCAUGCACACCCCACACACUGCACACACCCCACACGCACCCCACAAGCACCCCACACCCCACACGCACCCCACACUCACUGCACACCCCACACGCCCGCGCCCUGCACGCGCCCUGCACGCGCCGCACACGCCGCCCGCGCCGCCCCUGCGCGUGCCCCGCGCCCCCGGCCCCGCGGCGGGCAGGCUCGCCCGGGGUCCCCGGCCCCGUCCCGGCCCCCACCCCACGAUUCAGGUAGCAGGACCUUAGAGCUAGAGUCCGUUUUGUACUUGCCCACGCACGGGAACGGCGCUGGAGCAGCCUUGUAAAUACGUUUGGAGAUUUACACGAAUUUUUACAAGCUGUAAAGAACCUACCGCGUUUCCGGAGACUUUUCCCUGGGAAUUUUUUGAGCCAGUAUUUGAACGAUGUUCCAGUAAA
rnacentral:lncRNA from 1 species